UUGACCUCGGAUCAGGUAGGAAUACCCGCUGAACUUAAGCAUAUCAAUAAGCGGAGGC
rnacentral:rRNA from 5 species